rnacentral:rRNA from 1 species
GUGAGUAACCUGCCCUUGACUCUGGGAUAAGCCUGGGAAACUGGGUCUAAUACUGGAUACUACUGUUCACCGCAUGGUGGGUGGUGGAAAGGGUUUUACUGGUUUUGGAUGGGCUCACGGCCUAUCAGCUUGUUGGUGGGGUAAUGGCUCACCAAGGCGACGACGGGUAGCCGGCCUGAGAGGGUGACCGGCCACACUGGGACUGAGACACGGCCCAGACUCCUACGGGAGGCAGCAGUGGGGAAUAUUGCACAAUGGGCGGAAGCCUGAUGCAGCGACGCCGCGUGAGGGAUGACGGCCUUCGGGUUGUAAACCUCUUUCAGUAGGGAAGAAGCGAGAGUGACGGUACCUGCAGAAGAAGCGCCGGCUAACUACGUGCCA